CGGGGCCAGGCCGGGCCUGAGGCGGCGUGAGGCGAGACUUUGUAAUACGUUGCCCGAGGUUACCAAUUGACGCAACUCAAAACGGUGGAGAUGUGUCAGGCUGCUCCUGCGACAGACAUGCACUGGGAAGAGGAGCGAGAGCAGAGGGUGCUCUCUUCUGUGGGAAAACAAAAACGUUUUAUGAAAGAUAAUUGACUGACUUUAUCACAGGCGGGUUUUAAAGCCUCUUUUACGUCAUCGCCUCCAGUAAAACCAGACGUGGAUUCUGCCAGACUCGGUUUCUGGAGCAGUUGAGCUCCACUGUUUUCUGCUGGCUGCGGUUGGGCUUAACGCUGCUACCUUCUAAAAUCUAAAAAUCCGAUGUUUUUUUCAACAUGCUGUUCCCUGCUGGGUGAAACUACAGGUUUUUCGAGUUAGUUGCACGAGAAAAGGACAAAAGCAUGUUUUUCAGCUGUUAGGCGCAAUAGUCGAAGAAAGAUUAAAACAAAGAAACCAGCCAAAACAACCCCCUUCCAGAGCAGUCCAAAUAAAAUAAUUCAUAUAUUUGACUUAAAUAUUUACACAUUUAUUUAGUAUAAAUGUUUGCGUUUGAUUUUUAUUUUUUUAAUUUAGGCUAUAAUUAUGUGUAACUUUAAAGCUCUCUCAAAAUACUUUUUCUUAAUAGCUACUAUGCAGUCGUUGACUUGCACAAAAUAGUUCACAGAAAAGCCCCAAAACCCCCUAGGCAAGAGGGUGUGCAGAAGGGCGUGAAAAUAAUACUGGAGAGAUUAGAAGUAGUGAGUAGGUGGAAAUGGGAACAGAUGUGUAGGCAGGGAUUAUGCAGUUUUCAGGGGGAGAACAAAGAACCUGAACUUGAUGCAGUAAAAGGAUGAGAAACCCAAGAAUUAAUCGUGAAAUGGGAUUCACCUGGAAUAUGUCUUUGGUGGCAUUUUGAGUUCAGUGCUGCAAAGGCGGAGGUAUGAGGAAGUGAGAGGAAGAAACCGUGCAUAAUAAGAUGCUAGCUGCUGCAGUGCCAACCAUGGAAAUUGAUCAGCAGUCCCUCUAAGAAAAGACAGAGUGUUAAUUAUAUUGUUAGCAGAAGUCAAAUAAGAUGUGGACUGGAAAAAACAGCAAUAAAAUAUGUUCAUUUCCUCUUUUACACAUAGGACAGUCUAUAUGUGUUCUCUUUCCAACAAUAUUAAAUUAACAUAAAAGAGGAGAUUAAUCAGGUAAUAAUUAUAGACUAUUUAUAGACUUCCACCAUGGAAGACAGUGAGGCUUUCAAAGCUCAAAUGUCAGCAAUAUAGAGAUAAAGCAGAGCAGGCAGAGAUAAAUCCAUCUUUCACAAUAUAGUAUCACUCGCAACAUCAAGGUGAGGUGAGGGCACGGGUGCAAGAAAUCAUCUGCAGUAAACUGCUAGUAAGAUGAUGGUUAAAUGUAUUGGUAGGGGGCCAUUAAAAGCCUUGAACGCGUGAUGUGGUCCUGAUCAGUCACGGUUAAAAUCAAUGACAUCUUACAAGCCACAUUUUAAAAACCCUUCUGGACUAAUGUGGACUUCCCUUAUAGUAGAUUUUAUGGUGAAAUCCCUACUGCUUUUUUCUUUUGGCUGAGAGGCAACCUCACAACCUCGGGGCUGACUGUGCAGCUGUGAUAACGUCUGCUCUUGUUUUGUUCUCUGGAUUGUAAAGUGUCAUGUGAAAAAUACAAUCAAAGGUGAAGGAAGACCUUAUGAACUGCAUACAAGUCACUGGUGAAUUCCCCAGCAGAUUUUUUUGAUUCUUUUAAAGUCUACCAACGGAAACUAAAGUUUGCCCUGCCUGAGUUGCCUGGUUUGUAUUCCUCUCAUAUGACCUCAUUCACGGAGGAAAUGCAUUCCUGGCACAAGGGAAUUGUUUACUAUAGAACUGUUUUCUCAAUGACGGUGGAACUAGAAGUUGAAUGCUAAUGUAAACAUCGUUGCUCUCCAUUCCAGACUGAGGUUGUACAUAAAGCAGUGCUUAAUUAAUCUGACCUUCAUAAAUAAUAUUCACAAAGUGUAUAAUUUUAAAGAGCAAGUUGACCAAUGUCUGUGCAUACCCUGAGGAUGGGGAGGGAAAAAGAAUGGAUAAAACAUGCUCAUUGCUUUGAUAAUUAAUCUUUAGAAGAAGCUUCGGUACAAGUGAUGUGUUUAGAGACGGAGAGGGAAUACAA